GAACGGGUGAGUAACACGUGAGUAACCUGCCCUUGACUCUGGGAUAAGCCUGGGAAACUGGGUCUAAUACCGGAUAUGACCAUCUGACGCAUGUCAUGGUGGUGGAAAGCUUUUGUGGUUUUGGAUGGACUCGCGGCCUAUCAGCUUGUUGGUGGGGUAAUGGCCUACCAAGGCGACGACGGGUAGCCGGCCUGAGAGGGUGACCGGCCACACUGGGACUGAGACACGGCCCAGACUCCUACGGGAGGCAGCAGUGGGGAAUAUUGCACAAUGGGCGGAAGCCUGAUGCAGCGACGCCGCGUGAGGGAUGACGGCCUUCGGGUUGUAAACCUCUUUCAGUAGGGAAGAAGCGAAAGUGACGGUACCUGCAGAAGAAGCGCCGGCUAACUACGUGCCAGCAGCCGCGGUAAUACGUAGGGCGCAAGCGUUAUCCGGAAUUAUUGGGCGUAAAGAGCUCGUAGGCGGUUUGUCGCGUCUGCUGUGAAAGACCGGGGCUCAACUCCGGUUCUGCAGUGGGUACGGGCAGACUAGAGUGCAGUAGGGGAGACUGGAAUUCCUGGUGUAGCGGUGAAAUGCGCAGAUAUCAGGAGGAACACCGAUGGCGAAGGCAGGUCUCUGGGCUGUAACUGACGCUGAGGAGCGAAAGCAUGGGGAGCGAACAGGAUUAGAUACCCUGGUAGUCCAUGCCGUAAACGUUGGGCACUAGGUGUGGGGGACAUUCCACGUUUUCCGCGCCGUAGCUAACGCAUUAAGUGCCCCGCCUGGGGAGUACGGCCGCAAGGCUAAAACUCAAAGGAAUUGACGGGGGCCCGCACAAGCGGCGGAGCAUGCGGAUUAAUUCGAUGCAACGCGAAGAACCUUACCAAGGCUUGACAUGAACCGGAAAGACCUGGAAACAGGUGCCCCGCUUGCGGUCGGUUUACAGGUGGUGCAUGGUUGUCGUCAGCUCGUGUCGUGAGAUGUUGGGUUAAGUCCCGCAACGAGCGCAACCCUCGUUCUAUGUUGCCAGCGCGUUAUGGCGGGGACUCAUAGGAGACUGCCGGGGUCAACUCGGAGGAAGGUGGGGACGACGUCAAAUCAUCAUGCCCCUUAUGUCUUGGGCUUCACGCAUGCUACAAUGGCCGGUACAAAGGGUUGCGAUACUGUGAGGUGGAGCUAAUCCCAAAAAGCCGGUCUCAGUUCGGAUUGGGGUCUGCAACUCGACCCCAUGAAGUCGGAGUCGCUAGUAAUCGCAGAUCAGCAACGCUGCGGUGAAUACGUUCCCGGGCCUUGUACACACCGCCCGUCAAGUCACGAAAG
rnacentral:rRNA from 1 species